UGGCUUCCCCUCUCAGACCAGCAGGAGGGAAUUUAACCAUCUGGGUCAGACCUCCUGGAGGGGAGACAGAUUGUGCUUCUCCUGAUGCCCCUGGACUCCCGGCCCUAUUGCUGGGUUCUUUGAAGCCUGGACCCUGACUGCUGGUCUGUGUUGCCCCCAGGCACGCCCUCUCCUGUGAAGGUGCUGAGUCAGGCCAGGCCCUCAGGCCCCUGCCUGGCCCAGCCAGCCCGCUGCUGCCCCCCUGCGGCCCUGCAGAGAAAGCUGCCCAUCCCCGCCUGGCUGUCCCACUACUCUGUGCAGUGGCUGAAGAUGGACUUUAUCGCCAGGUUCUCGGGGAGGGGGGGAGGGCCUCGAGGUCAUUCCCCAGGCACUGGCCUAUGCUGAGGUGGCCUGACUCCUCCCCCAGUACGGCCUCUGCUCUGCCUUCAUGGGUGUAUUUCUUCCUGGGAACCUCUCGGGAUGUGACUCUGGGCCCCACGGCCAUCAUGUCCCUCCUGGUCUCCUUCUGCACCUUCCGUGAGCCCGCCUGUGCUGUGCUGCUGGCCUUCCUGUGGGGCUGCAUGCAGUUAGCCAUGGGCUCCUGCGCUUGGGCAUCUGUCACUUCCGGAAUCCACUCCAACCAGGAGGAGGAGAGUCACUCCAAGGCGUAUGCAAUGGAAUCUUCAGGAGUUUUUAGUGUUAAAACUGGAAAUUUCAAAGAUUCAAUUCUUGACGAUUGCAGAGUAUUUAUUUCUUAAUAUUUUAGUUUUUCAGAAACUGAUGCUUUUGAAAGAUAUUGUUAACUGGGCUGUUUGACUUCUGAGGUCAUCUUUUGGGUUAAGCAGUAAUAAAUGUGGGUCCACUUUCAUAUUCAGGGUGCAGAUCCCUGUGACCCAAACUCUUA